CCUACGGGAGGCAGCAGUGAGGAAUAUUGGUCAAUGGACGCAAGACUGAACCAGCCAUGCCGCGUGCGGGAGGACGGUUCUAUGUGUUGUAAACUGCUUUUGUACGAGGGUAAACACAGAUACGCGUCUCUGUCUGAGAGUAUCGUACGAAUAAGGAUCGGCUAACUCCGUGCCAGCAGCCGCGGUAAUACGGAGGGUGCGAGCGUUAAUCGGAAUUACUGGGCGUAAAGGGCGCGUAGGCGGUAUGUCAAGUCAAGGGUGAAAUCCCCGCGCUCAACGUGGGAACUGCCUUUGAAACUGGCAAACUGGAGGUUGUGAGAGGAUAGUGGAAUGCCAGGUGUAGGAGUGAAAUCCGUAGAUAUCGGGAGGAACAUCAGUGGCGAAGGCGACUAUCCGGCACAUAACUGACGCUGAGGAGCGAAAGCGUAGGUAGCAAACAGGAUUAGAUACCCCUGUAGUC
rnacentral:rRNA from 1 species